rnacentral:rRNA from 1 species
GACGAACGCUGGCGGCGUGCUUAACACAUGCAAGUCGAACGAAGUGGCGAACGGGUGAGUAAUACGUGGGUAACCUGCCCUCCUUUUUGGGAUAAGCCUUGGAAACGGGGUCUAAUACCGAAUAAAGGGGGAUGGGCUCGCGGCCUAUCAGCUUGUUGGGGGGGUGAUGGCCUACCAAGGCGGUGACGGGUAGCCGGCCUGAGAGGGGGAACGGACACGUAGGGAGUGGGAUACGGCGCAGAGGCGUACGGGAGGCAGCAGUGGGGGAUAGGGCACAAUGGGGGAAAGCCUGAGGCAGCGACGCCGCGUGGGGGAUGAAGGCUUGAGGGUUGGAAACCUCGGUCGCUAUCGAACGGGUAGGUGUAGAAGAAGCGCCGGCUAACUACGUGCCAGCAGCCGCGGUAAUAC